rnacentral:lncRNA from 1 species
CAGUCGCGCGAAGCCAGAGAGGACCCUGGGCGUGAUUCUCCCUCCCUGGCACAGACGGAGACCCGAGUGACCCCGGGGUCCGGGUGGGCGUGGGGAAUGGACCCAUAGACCCGGGACGAGCGGCGCGGAGCCCGCAGCUGGCCAGCUUCAGCCACCUUGGGAGACGCAGUGCAGCUGCCGCUGCUGACAGACAAGACCAAGGCUCGGCUGGGCCCCACCCCAGAUCCGGCCUGAGCGCCUUCCGCGCUGCUCGGCCUCAAGGCGUGAGUCACCAAGGGCAAGUCCCGUGACUUGGUCCUCAGGGUCUCCGGCCUCGGCACAUUAAUCUUCAGACCCGGCUUUUUCGACGCCGAGCUGCCGCCCAGCCCCAAUGGCAGGGCCUUCCAGGGAGUCCCAGUCAGACUGCUCCCCAGCUCCCGCAGCUGCUCGGUCCCUGCAAAGCCCCCGGGAGCGUUUCUACUCUCCCCUGAGCCCACGCCAUCCCGUCACUCCUAGGAAACUUUUCGCGCAGAAACUCCUGGAGAACAGCCCCGGCCGCCAGGAAAGAAGCGUACCCAGGCCGUCUGCUGUGUGCCCACCCCGAUCCCCAUCAGUGCCCCACGCACUCGAGCUCUUCUUCGGCGUCUGCAGCCUCUUCAUCCGCGCGGAGAGGCGGAGGUCUCCCGGAAACAGUGUCCGACUGUGGCACCCCAGAGCGUCCAAUGCGAGCUCAGGCCUUUCCCGCAAGUCUGGAGUUUUCUUAUCCAGUUGAGGCCGCCUUCGCUGUACUCACUCUCUGCCUCCCACCCCAUCUUCUGCCACCCGACCUCCAUCUUUGAUGGUUAGCGCCUUCAGCCCUCAACAGCUUCGCACAACCAACCCCUAGAAGCCGUGGAGUCAGACCGGCCAGGGUGGGACCUAGGUUUUAACUCGGGUUCUGGCUACACACGCUGCGCCUCCAUACAGUUUGUCCCAGGUUUGGCAGCAGGCCGGCUACCUUCAGGAAUUCUUUGCUUUGGCUUCUGUCUGUUCCUGUCUGUUGGGCAAGUUUCUAGCUACCCCACUGAGAGAACCAUAGAACAAGGACCCUGGCAUGGCAUACAGACAAGGAAUGUUUGCUGAAUUAAUGGAGCUGGUGCCUUGCAGCUUCCCUUUUGUUCCUUGAAGUUGCCCUUGCUCUCCUCCACAUCAGCUCCCUCUCCUCCUCAGCUACUUAUUCCCCACCCUGGCUUCUUCUAGUCGCAGUCCCCAAGUACUUGCUGAAUCCUGUAUGGACAGCCUAAGCCUCCAUUUCUGACAAUUCCUGUGGCCCCACUCCAUUUGUUUUUUAGACUUCUCCCUCCUUUUUGUCCCCAUCCCCCAAGUUAUAAAACUAUAAUGCAAUUCUUUGGA